UACGAAGGGGGCUAGCGUUGCUCGGAUUUACUGGGCGUAAAGGGCGCGUAGGCGGACAGUUAAGUUGGGGGUGAAAGCCCGGGGCUCAACCUCGGAAUUGCCUUCAAUACUGGCUGUCUUGAGUACGGGAGAGGUGUGUGGAACUCCGAGUGUAGAGGUGAAAUGCGUAGAGAUCGGGAGGAACACCAGUGGCGAAGGCGGCUACCUGGACCAGCACUGACACUGAGGCACGAAAGCGUGGGGAGCAAACAGG
rnacentral:rRNA from 1 species